CCUACGGGAGGCAGCAGUGAGGAAUAUUGGUCAAUGGGCGGGAGCCUGAACCAGCCAAGUCGCGUGAGGGAAGACGGUCCUACGGAUUGUAAACCUCUUUUGCCGGGGAGCAACGGGGUCCUUGCGAGGGCCCGAUGAGAGUACCCGGAGAAAAAGCAUCGGCUAACUCCGUGCCAGCAGCCGCGGUAAUACGGAGGAUCCGAGCGUUAUCCGGAUUUAUUGGGUUUAAAGGGAGCGUAGGUGGAUUGUUAAGUCAGUUGUGAAAGUUUGCGGCUCAACCGUAAAAUUGCAGUUGAAACUGGCGUUGUUGAGUGGGCGAGAAGUAUGCGGAAUGCGUGGUGUAGCGGUGAAAUGCAUAGAUAUCACGCAGAACUCCGAUUGCGAAGGCAGCAUACCGGCGCCCAACUGACGCUGAAGCACGAAAGCGUGGGUAUCGAACAGGAUUAGAUACCCCUGUAGUC
rnacentral:rRNA from 1 species